AUGGGUGGGUAGUUCCCUGGUUGGUUAUAUGUGAGGGUGGAUGCCUGGUUGGCUGGUUGGUUGUAUGGGAGGGUAGGUGGUUGGCUGGUUGGCUGUAUGGGAGGGUGGGUAGCUGGUUCGCUGGUUGGUUGUGUGGGAGGGUGGGUGGCUGGUUGGCUGGUUGGUUGUAUGGGGGGGUAGGUAGAUGUACAAGAAGUGAGCAGUGGUGGCUUUGUGUUAGAGUGCGUUAGGUCUGACUUUUCUAAAUUUGGAAUGGGAGAGGUGUUAAGUUGGAUUCAGGACACUCUCCACUGAUGUGAACGGAGAGGUUGGGGAUCAGAUUGUUUUAUGAGCCUCCAGCUUCUCUGUGCAGUGGUCUCUGACCCAUCACUGUGUCUUCACCCCACAUCUGCAUGCCGUAAAGCUUCCUUACGACAUGCAUAUGUCUCGACUGCAAACACCAUGGCAUAUCCCUCUCAAAUGCACUAUAAAGAGCAAUGGCUCGGGGAAGAACUGUUAGGAGUGUGAGCCCCUUAUUAUUUUAAAGGGCAUUUCAACAACACCACCGAAUGUUCUCUGACCGUAAGCCUGAUUCUGGUUUUCUCUCUCGCUUUGUUUUCUCGUCCUCUCAGGAUAUCAAGGCAGACUGCAAUACCUGCGUGGGAAUAGAAGACAGAAAGGGAGCUGGCGAUUUGUUACUGACUGGUGCCCUCCCAACAGAGCCCAUCUCACCGAAACCUGGGAAAUCUGAGAGCCAGGUGAUGUCUCUACCUAACACAUUUUGGCACUUGUUCUGUUGAAUUCAGAAAUGCCGAAUUCAGAGGUUUAGAAGCAGAGAUUUAACAACCAAAAACCAUGCAUAGUCAACCUGAUAAAUUAAGAUAUCCUGUUAGCCUGAGACACUUAAGUGAUUUUUUUUUUUUACCCAGAAAUGCAGUGAUUUUUACAUGUCAUGUCCGGGAUCGACUCUCUCUGUCAGCUCAGCGAGUGUCUUCCGAGCUGACAGGCGAUAAACCCGUGGAAAGCCUCAGUCACACUGGUUAUUGAUGAUGCUCGCUGGACCAGGGGUGUGUCAUUAGCAUGUGCUUCUGCGGGCCUCGUGUCUAUAUAUGGACCGGGAAGAAAACUUGGGAUUCUGCAGGCAUUCUCCUUAUUUUCUGAGGGAGUUGAGUGAAAUGGCUUCUGUCCACAGGGGACGUGGAGUGGAAGGUAUGAGGAGGAUAAUUUCUUUGCCUCAUUUUGGAACCGGUGGCUGCCUCUCAGCCAGCUAGUGAGUAUUUUCUGCAGAGAACCGGAUUGCCGAGUUCUUUGCAACGAUGUCUUUGUCUUUUGCCUCCAUGUCCUCUUGAGGAAAAAAUCCAAAUGAAACGUUACAGCAGCAGAUAAUAUUUAUUUAUUGGUCUUUUGUGUGUGGUAGGUAAGCCAGCGUAAUCCCACAUGCUGUGAUGAAAUGGUCAGUGGUACUGGCCUGUCUUGUCUUUUAGUGGGAGAGCUACAUGGUAAGGUCAGUCUGUGUUUAAGAUGACUUUAGCAUUUGGUGAAGGAUGUGAGAGAAUGCGCAUAGUGUUACAGUAAAGAGUAGAUGGUAGUAGGCCGGCGCCGCAGCUCACUAGGCUAAUCCUCCGCCUAGCGGCGCCUGCUGACACACCGGGUUCUAGUCCCGGUCGGGGUGCCGGAUUCUGUCCUGGUUGCCCCUCUUCCAGGCCAGCUCUCUGCUGUGGCCAGGGAGUGCAGUGGAGGAUGGCCCAAGUGCGUGGGCCCUGCACCCCACAUGGGAGACCAGGAGAGGCACCUGGCUCC
rnacentral:lncRNA from 1 species